rnacentral:lncRNA from 1 species
GGUUUUCUCCGGUUCGGGAGAGAGACGGAGUCCCGCUCUGUCACGCAGGCUGCCAGGCUGGCGUACAGUGGCGCAAUCUCAGCUCGCUGCAACCUCCACCUCCUGGGUUCAAGCGAUUUUCUUGCCUCUGCCUCCUGAGUAGCUGGGAUUACUGGCACACACCACCAUGCACAGUUCCUUGUUCAAAAUGCCAAGAACCUGGAUGACUCAUAGUCAAGACCCUCCACCAGUAACAUAUAUUGGCGAGCCAGCCAGGAGACCACUACAGGAAACACUCCAUUUAUUCCACCUGACUUCCCACUUGGCUGCAUCCUCAACCAUUGAAAUGAAUUUGACCCUGAUAAUCUAAGGAGGAAACAUUUGAUAUUCUUUUGCAAUAAUACUUGGCCCCAGUAUUGUUUGGAAUCUGGAGUUUGCUGUUGAAUGGGAAAGCAGGAUGACGUUGCAUGUAUCCAGGCUUUGGUGCUGCUGUCCUAAGAAGGGUCAGGCCUAGUCAGCAUAUGGUGCUCUCCUUUGGUGCUAUUUGGCUCCAGUGUCUUUGGAGUCUGAGGAGGUUUGGCCUUUAAAAAUCAAACUGCCACCGGAACUGCUUUAAAAAUGUUUGGUUCACAGCCUUCACUGGAUUACCUAUUGGAGCAAACAAAGUGUAACCAUGUAAAACCUGUGAGCUUGUAUUGAUAUCUCAUGGCUAGAGUUCCAAGCGAAUGGGUCUCAUGAGAUCUGAUGGUUUUGAAAAUGGGAGUUGCCCUGCACAAGCUCUCCUUUUGCCUGCUGCCAUCCACAUAAGAUGUGAUUUGCUCUUCCUUGCCUUCCACCAUGAUUGUGAGGCCUUCCCAGCAUGUGGAAAUGGUCCAGCCUGCAAUAACUGAAGCCCCCAGACCUGGAACCUGAAGAUCCCAUCAGCCACUAAACCUGUGAACCUGUAGAAGACCUGAAGUACCUGUUUAAAAGGCAGCCAAAAGAUAAGUAAAUUCCUAUCAACUUUCCUUGGUGUCCUUCUUGUAUAUUUACUGUAAGCUGGAUAUAAUAGUAGCCAUUUUUAUAUUUUUACAAUUUAAUUGCUUUCUUCCAAAUGGAUUGAAUCACUUCUUUUAAAGUGUUUUAAUUAAUUUUUAUCUAUAGAACAAAAUAACAAAUAAGUAUUUUUUUUUUAUACCAUAAUGGUCACCCACAGCCUGUGUAUACUAAGACCAUGCAUACUGAUAAUCAGCUUUAUUUUACAAAAGAGUUUCGCUUUACCCCUCUGGUAAUUAAUGGAUUCUGGGUAUUUAUUAAAAACUUUAACACAAAGACUGUUAAAUACCACCAGUCCAGCUUUGGCAAGGCACUGUUGGCUUUGUUUAUCUCCAUCAUCAUCCAAACAGACUACCAAUCCUGAUCCCAGCCCAAUCUUGGGCCCUUGAAAAAAUAACUUAACAUCCUAACUACAAGGGAGAAACUCCUUUCAAAUUAAUGAACCUGGCUGACUUAUAUAGCCUUAAAAUUAUGGAAAUGACAAGGGUUACAAUGUCAGAAUGAGCAGUAAACCUUCCCCAGUCCUAUCAGAGCAAACUUUCUGGGGUUGCAUCCCCUCAGAAACCCAUUUGGGGCCCAAUCUCAAUGCACAUAUCAGUGCGCAAAGCACUAAAAUUCCAGGCAACACUUUGUAUUGAGAGAAGCCAAAAUUUUGGUCCCGCCCUGGGACAUCUAAAGUCACCAAUGUAACUACACCAUACAGAUUAAACCCUCACAUGAUCAUGUAAGCUAUGCAGUUACCCAAGCUGCAUCAUUUAGAAAACCUGUACAGUUUUUAUGGAAACCAUCCCUAGUCAAGGACACUUUAAAUAUAUAGUCUAAAUACCGUUAAGGUAGGCCCACUAGCUGUGUUCACAUUUUCCCUUGGCCACCUUACCAGGGACUUUAAUAACUUGGGAAAGUGAAAACAACAAGCUAACCCACAUGUUCACCAUAGAAAACAAUUUUGUCUUGAAAAACAAGGACUCUUUUUCCCGUGUGGGACCAGUUCCUACUUAUGUUUUACCAGCCAAUUGGACUGGAACCUAUACAGUUGUUUAUUUAGCCCCCGAAAUUAAUAUAGCUCCCAACAACCAAUCCUUCAUUAUACUUUUAACUGCAACCACCAGACACAAAUGAGCCAUCCAACUGAUACCACUUUCGGUAGAGCUAGGAAUAACAGCAGGAGUAGGAAUGAGAGUUAGCAGCCUUGCAGUUUCCCUAUCCUAUUACCAAUGCUUGUCCAAGGAUUUUAUGGAAAGCUUAGGUGACAUUGCCCAAAAGUAUCAUCACCUUACAAAAUCAGAUAGAGUCUUUGGCAGUGGUGGCUUUGUAAAAUAGAAGGGGACUGGAUCUCCUAAAUGCUGAAGAAGGUGGCUUAUGUCUUUUUCCUAGAGGAAGAAUGCUGUUUUUAUGUCAACCAAACAGGAUUAGUAAGGGAUGCCACCCAAAAACUAGCCGAUUGGUACCAUAAGAUAUGACAACAGCUGUCUGAGUCAUGGGGCGCCUAGUCAAAAUGCUAAUUUGGGGCUCACAUCUCCUUCCUCUGGCCAGUCCACUAUUAAUUAUUAUACUUGCCUUGGCUUUUGGAUCAUGUUUGUUAAAUCUUUUAACCAGAUUUAUUUCUUCUUGCCUAGAGACCAUUAUGAUAAUGCAGCAGGGCCACCAGUCAGUUUCAGAUAAUGAUGUCAACCCCGGCCACCAAGAAGUAACCUUGUCUCCACUAGACAGAGCAGGUUGCAGGAAUUUAGCCAAUUCAGAGGUCUUGUUCUCCAUAAUUUGGAAUUUUCCUUCGGAUUUGAUCAAGUUGGAUAGAGUUGGUCAAACCCAAUGGGAAAAAGAUGAAAACAACAAGAAACAGAAACAAACAGCAACAACAACAACAACAAAAACAAUGCAUUUAAUUAAAUGAAGAUGAGCUCAUGCUGGAGUAGGGUGGACUCUGAACCCAGUGGGACAAGCGUCCUUAUUAAGAAGAGGGAAAUCUGGACACACACAGAGCAGAGACCGCCGUGUGAAGAUGGAGGCAGAGAUCGGAGAGAUGCUGCCACACGCCACAAAUGCCUGGGGCUCCCAGAAACUACACGGAGCCUCCCCCAGCGGCUUCAGCAGGAGCAUGGCUCGGCCAACACUUUGAUCUUGGUCUUCCAGCCUCCAGAACGUUUUCCUAAAAUUCCCUUUUCCACUGGUGUGUGGUGCAAGAUGAGGCACAUUUUCCAUGGAUGGUGAACAGAGGGAGGAGCCUUUUGAUCACAACCAGGUCACCCCACUUCUAAGCCACUGUGCCUCCAGCCCCACAAGACUAAGGAGAGAGAGCGCAGCGUGGUGGAGAGUGAGCUGUGCUGGGACCAUUGUUUCCGUAACCUCGUUUUCUGUGUCCAGCUGACACACCUUCAAAGUGGCAUCAGGUCCUAAACUGUAGCUUGCAAUGUGCCUGUUUCCAGAAACCAAGGUGAAAGUGCUUUUAGACAGUGUUCCCAUGCAAGAGUCCCUUCCCAGCUUUUUUCUGGAAAUGCAUGUUUCUCUGAACUCUGAGUCCCAAGAAAAAUCACUUGAGACACCAAGAAAAUGGGGGAAGUGCUAAAAUUGUGUGGGAAUUCAAGCUUAACAAUAAACAUCAAGACAUUUUUGAUAAAAAUGAAUCCACUGACAUCGGGGAGGAGCAAGAGAACAGCACGCUGACACUGGGUCAGAGGCUAAGACCGACAUUUCUGGGAACCACUCCCGGAAGGGCACAGAGGAGACGCUUUCAGCCUCUCAUCAGCCAGCCUGGCCUGUAGCUGCUGCACGUUAUGAGUGUGUUCCUGGCAUGACUGCUUCUAACAAAGAAAUGCUGAGGCAGUGUCACGCUGGUGUCUGUCCUCCUUACAGAAUGCCUGAACAGUUCCAUUGACUCAAAGUGAAGAUCAAAAGAACCAAAUGACAGCAAUAGCCAAGUGUAAUCAUCAGUAACCCUGUGUUCUAUCCACAGUUAAAAGAAUAUUGGCAGAGAAACAGCCUUGGUGUUCCAGCAGGAGUGAAGAGGAACAGGAAAACGAGUGGCAGUAGCCCUGAAACAGCCACUUCUGGUGGUUGCCACUCACCUGAGGAUAGAUGGAGUCUCGUUCUGUCACCCAGGCUGGAGUGCAGUGGCGCAAUCUCGGCUCGCUGCAAGCUCUGCCUCCCGGAUUCCCGCCAUUCUCCUGCCUCAGCCUCCCUAGUAGCUGGGACUACAGGCGCCCCCCACCAUGCCCGGCUAAUUUUUGAUAUUUUUAGUAGAGACAGGGUUUCACUGUGUUAGCCAGGAUGGUCUCGAUCUCCUGACCUCGUGAUCCACCUGCCUCGGCCUCCCAAAGUGCUGGGAUUACAUGUGUGAGCCACCACACCCGGCCCCAUUUUUAAUACGUUUUUUAAAGAUGCAUAUAAAAUGCAUUACCCUCUGGAAGAUUCCAGUAACUUACUGAAGCAAGUUUCUCCUCUACAUAUACCUAUUUCUGCCAUGAGUAACUGUUCAUUUUCAGUGAGUCAUUUGAGUUUCUGUUAUUCAGGUAUACAGAGUUCCUGUUGUCUUUUUAGUCAACAAAGUUUAACAAAGACCAUAAUAAAGAUGGCUUUCAGCAGCUCUGUUAUUGGGAAGGGUUGUAUUCAUGUGAAGAAAGAAAUUAUUUUAUUUUAUUUUUAAGUUUUAGUAGAGGGGGGGUUUUGCUAUGUUGGUUAGGCUGGUCUCGAACUCCCAUCCUCAAGUGAUCCACCUGCCUCGGUCUCUCAAAGUGCUGGGAUUACGGGCAUGAGCCACUGUGCCUGGACAGUAAUAAUAUUUUUUAAAAGGCUGACAUCAGCAGAUCAGCUAUUCUGGAAAGAUUUUUAAACACUCAGAGGUUUUUUUGUGUUUGUUUGUUUUCUUUUCUUUUCUUUUUUAGAGGCAGGGUCUUGCUCUGUCGCCCAGGCUAAGGUGGAGUGGUGCAAUCAUAGCUCACUACAGCCUCAAACUCCUGGGCUCAAACAAUCCUCACACCUUUCAUACCUUAGGCCCCUGAGUAGCUGGGUGGGACUACAGGCAUGCAUCACCAUGCUUGGCUAAUUUUUAAUUUUGUAUAGGUGGGGUCUUGCCAUUUGCCCAGGCUGGUGUCAAACUCCUCAAGUAAUCCUUCUGCCUCGGCCUCCUAAAGUGCCAGGAUUAUAGGCCUGAGCCACUACACACAGCCCGGAGUUUUUAAAAAAUACUCAAUUAAAAUGCUUCAUUUAAGUGUAUGUCUCUAAGAAAAUUUAAUAAUUGAUUAAAUAUUGUUGAAUAGACUGAAAGCACAACAUCCAAGCACAUGAAUUAAGCAAAUAAUGCAAGCAUAGCUCCCACACUCCACAAAUGUUUUCUAGUCAUUCCAAAGCCAUUCUUUUUAGAGGAUCUUUAAGAAAAUGCUUGGCUCUCAUCCGAUUAUUAUACAAGAGAUUAAGAAUUUACUGAGUUUACAGUUCUUUCUAUGAAGGAAAGAAUGAGGUCUACACCCAAAAGAAACAUUGGGAUUUUCAUUUAAGUAAAGCUGUAUUCUCAUUUAAAAUGGUACUAGUGCUCUUGUUGGCAACAGACACAUGAAGCAAAAUUUUCCUUUUACAUUUGAAUUUCAACUGCAUUUAAAGUGUUAUAAAUACCAUGACUACAUAAGCUAAGGGAAUGAAUGUAUUAACUCUGAUGCAGUCUGUCAGGUUUUAACAGUAGUGAAUCUUGGGAUCGGUACAUCUCAUUCCAGUAUAGCUAUGGUAAAUGACAUAGAGAUCGCUGAAUUGUUGUAUUUCCAGGACUUUUCAAAAGUGACUAUUAAGGUUGGCUGUGGGAUCUAGCAGGUUAUUGUCCUAGAACACUUGUGGCCUUCUCCUAAAACAGACUGGGAAAAUUCUGGUUCUUUAUUCACUGACAUCUCAAAGGGCAAAGAGGGAGGCACCAUGACAUUCUGCAGUUGCAGGCCUCUCAGGAUGAGACUGUAUUUUUCCAUACAGCAAUGUUGAUUUGAUCUGGCCUAAUUCUCCGAUUGAUGUGGUGAGAGGCAGGACUACUUGGGAAUGUAUUCACUGUGCCUGAUUUCUCUCUGGGCAAUUUAUUUGGUCAUCAAUCUUUUUAUCCUCCUGACAUUUGAUUUCUAGAUAUUGGCCCAAAUUCCAUAAGAUAGGAAUUUUUGUUCUGAAUUUUAAUAACAUAUGUAUUUUAAUUAAUAGUAUAUUUUAAAAUAAAAGUAACACGACAAAAAGAAAAAACAAAGACAAAAAAGUAACCUAAGAAUAUAUGCUCAAAAGUGCCAAAAAUACAAAAGACUACAGAAUUUUUAAAAUAGAAGCUUUUUGUUCAACUUGCUGCUCUUCUUCCCACUUCUUCAAUUCCAUUUCUUUUCCUAUAGGUGAUCAUGGCUAACAUUUUGGUGUUUGUCUUUCCAAAGUGUAUAGUUAUAGAUCUGAAUAGAAAUGUAGAUACAGAGAUAUCAAAGAUGAGCAUGGGCUAAGCACUCAACAAUAAACUACGUUGGGUCUAUUUUUCAAAGUUACUCUCAAAACAAGAAUACAGAUUGUCCAUUAAACAUACUGGAAUUUUAAUACAUUCUUUUUUUUCCCCCAGAACAUUUCUGAUUUCAUAUAUUCUGGCAUGUUUCCUGCCAUGUGGCAAACCAUAAGCUGAAAGAGAUAUAAAUAUAAAUAACACUAUGUCUAACAAAAUUUGCUCAGAAUAUGCUAAAGCAUUAGUAUAAAUGUCUACAUCUUAAGUCAGAGCUAAAGAACAAGUUUCUCUCAGUAAAUCAAGGAAAGCCAGGGGAAAAGACCAUAGAGAAAAAGGAUAUGGGUGCCUGUAUGAAGCAGGGGAGGUUUUUGACUCCAGUGCACCUAAUUAGCAAAUAAGUAUCAUUCAUCUGUGCUGUGGUAAGCACUGCAGUAUGCAUAAAUAGAAGGUGUGAUACCUGCCUCCAAAGGGCUUACCAUCUACUGAGAAAUCCGACUAAUCAGACAGGAAAGACUCAGAUAAUGAAGGCUUGCAUAAGAGCCUGAAUCUGAUAAGGUAAUGAACAAAAGACAGCCUCUACAGGUUUUUAUAGAUAGAAAUGAGAUGAUAAAAUCAAAUUUAAACAAUGUAUCUUAACUCCCUUCCGGCCUUUCAUUUCCAUUCCAUGAAUGCUACCCUGGCUUAGGCUUUCAUGACUUUGCCUAUUUGCAGUGACCUUGUAUUCAGCACUCUGCCAUCUCUCCCACUACUUCCUCCCAAGCCAUCCUGAACACAGGCCACAUGUUUGAUUUUCUAAUCGUACACAAGGGAACGUCUCUGCUCAAAAGCCAAAAAUGACUCUUCUUUGGCCACCAAAUAAUCUGAACUUUUUGGUGUGAAACUCAAGGCCCUGCCAGAAACAAUAUUAAUCUCCUUCCAGACUGUCUCCCAUUUCCUAAUAUUAACCCCUUGCUCUGUUGAAAUUGAAGCCAUUUUCCAAAGCCACCUCUGUGAUGUCCUUAUGUAAUUCCCGCCCUCUUCUUGUCCUCCCCUGCAACCCUAUCUCCAUAGAAAAGCAGUCAGAAAAACCACCCUAGGAAUUGAUGCAGUAAUCCAGGAGUGAGAUGAGGAUGGGAGGGAGAGGGUGAGCAUGUGGGGAUGAGGAGGAGGGUGGGACACAGGGAGUAGCCACAGACCUUAAUGACUGAUGGCAGAUAGGGUGUGAAGGAGAGAGGUGAGUCAAAGGUAACUUAUUUUCGGUUUUAGGCAACAAAUACAAAUCUUUCUCAAUAACUACUCAUCCCACAUCCUUGUGGCUAUUGGAGGUUGAUAUUUAUUUCAUACUGCCUGUAUAACCUGGGACCAUAUAUAAUUAAUGAUGAUUACUCUGUAUUCUAGAUCACGAAUAUAUAUAUCUAUAUAAAUAUAUACAAAUAUAUAAAUACAAAUAUAUAUAUAUAUAUAUAUAUAUUUACCUUAAUGCAGGCACAACCAAAUACUUUACUUUUGGAGCCAGAUGUCUUUAAGAUACACUCUAAAAUAUUAUUGUGGAAUUAGAUACACUGCUUUCCACGUAAACCAUUAAUAGAUACAUUGAAUAAGAAUCUUUAUUUCAUUCCCAGUGUGGUUUGGAGUAUAAGACUUAGGAAAGUGUCUGUGAAACCUACAGUGAGAAAUUCCACUGGGUCUUGACAGCUGGAGUGAGCACUCAAAUGUGCCCAGCACUUUUCUCUAGCUCCCUUCUCUGCUUGAGCUGUGGUCUGCUUUCUCCUUCUCUGUAGCUCAGAUCAUCUUCCUCCACUUCUCAGCCCACAUGUCUAACGUGGCUGGGACCAGCUCAGAGUGUUUCAAAUGUGUAGGUGCUCGGAGAGAGAGAGACCCAACCCUCUUAGACUCAGGUACACAUUCUCAGGGAAGAAAACUGGAACCAGUAGAAAUAUCAGAUCCCUAUGUUCCCUGACGAGUGCUUCCUUCUCUAAGAAGAAAAACCUACUAAGAAGACAAAUUACAGCUGGAAGGUUGUUUGGUAAGCGUGGAAUCACCUAUCUAAUCUCCCAGCAAGUCUUAAUUGCUCUACCAUAAAAAAAAAGCAACCCAAAUCCAUCCUUUUCCCAGCUUCACUCCCUAGUCCAAAGCCACCAUCCACCCUUGUCUAAACCUCUGCAGGACUGUCUUUGCUUAUUUCUUUUCUUUUCUUUUUCUUUUUCUUUUUUUUAAGCGGAGUCUCACUCUGUCACCCAGGCUGGAGUGCAGUGGCGCGAUCUCGGCUCACUGCAAGCUCUGCCUCCCGGGUUCACGCCAUUCUCCUGCCUCAGCCUCCCGAGUAGCUGGGAGUACAGGCGCCCGCCACCAUGCCCAGCUAAUUUUUUUGUAUUUUUAGUAGAGAUGGGGUUUCACUGUGUUAGCCAGAAUGGUCUCCAUCUUCUGACCUCGUAAUCCACCCACCUCAGUCUCCCAAAGUGCUGGGAUUACAGGCGUGAGCCACCGCACCUGGCCCUGUCUUUUCUAAUUUCUUAACUAUCAUUUCUAUCCCCUUAGAAUUGAUUCUCCACUCAGCAUGCAGAAUUAUCCCUUUGAAAAUCAGAUUAUAUUCCUACCUAAACCACCCCCAAUAGCUUGUGACCUCUUAGAAUCUAGAUUCCUUAACAUGGCCUCAAGGGCCCACGUGACCCAGCCCCUGCCUGUCUCUCUACCUCAUCUCCUACUGCUCCUGCUUUUGUUCCUUCCACUCUAAUCACUUGACCUCCUGACCUCAGUCAUGCUAAUAAACUCAUGCCUCAUUUAGAUUUAUUUUCCUAGUGGAAGAAAAUGCAUUGAUCUGUGAACACAAAUACAUGGUUUAUCUGUUACAGUUCUCAUUGCAUGUCAACAAACUGACAUUCUGAUGUGUACAUCCAUCUCUUAUGAGUCUGCUUAGUGUGAAUCUGCCCCCUCUGGUAGUACUGACAAGAUUGUGUUUCUCAGCCCACAGAGCUAAGACACAGACUCAUGAGACCCAGUCUCUGUCUAUACCACUAGAGUUCUACUGCCCCUGAAUGGCAUUGCCUGCACAGACAGCUGGCCUUCCUCAGCAGACACACAGCCUUUGUACCAUAUAACUCUUCAGACUUGCUAUGAUGUACCAAUGUCUUUCCUUGAAAUGCUCUUCUGAAAAUGAUAAAUGCUAAAACUGAUUACAAUGCUAUUGAAAGUGGAUGAGCAAGUUGAUCUGCUGAGAUGUGAAAACAAAUUCUAUUUUAAUUUUUAAUCUAAAAUAUUAGAAAGAAUUUUGUUUCCUAUACUUUGCUAUAUUUAGUAAAUAUACACUAAUAUAAGAAUUUUGCUUUACUAAAACAGUAGAACCCUCAGUUAGCCAGGCAGUCAUCAUCUGUCACAUAAAAGGUGUCCUGAGGAGGAAUGGGAGUGCCUCCCCUGGGGAAGAGGCUGAUGGUGGCUCUGGCUCUCAGUCAGUCGCUUUCCUUAUCUUGGUAUUUACUGUCAUUUAUCUGGGCUUAGCUAAACAGAUUUAUAGAGAAUUAACUCUCACAAAAUGGGAACAUAAUUUAAAAGAUUUCUGCAAAGAAUUGGACAGGAACUCUUGUCAAAAUUGUAAGCAGAAGAAAAGAAAAAAAGAAAGGGACAGAGCCGACAUUUCUCAUACUUCUGGUACAAGCUCCUCAUCACAUUCAUUGUGUUGUAAAAAUAAUGGUGAUCUAGUAACAUCUGACAAGGUCAGCCAAAAUGAUACAUAUAAGAAUUUAGCUCUCCACCUAGGAGGGCUAUUAGCAAUAAAAUUUCCAUCUACUAUAACUUAUAAUUAACUUUGACCUAUAUGUGUAUUUCCCUUGAGAUUGGCCAAUGAUUGAUUGAAACUACCACAAUUAAUGACAGAUAAAAUAGCUUUUUUAUUUUAAAAUUUCUAUUUUGUGGGUAUUAUAGAAUGUAUUUUAUAUAUUAAUAUACAUAUAAUUAUAUACUAUUAUAAUCAUAUAUUAAUAUUAACAUAUAAUUGUGUGUGUUCAAAAAUUUUUAAUGGCACAAUCAAAAAACUUUAAAGACCACUGGAUUAAAAGAUGGUAUUUAGGGCCCAGCACAAUGACUCAAGUCUGUAGUCUCAGCACUUUGGGAAGCUGAGGUGAGGGGAUCGCUUGAGCCCAGGAGAUCAAGACCAGCCAUGGGCAAUAUGGCAAAACCCCAUCUCUACAAAAAAUACAAAAAUUAGCCAGAUGUGUUGCAACUGUAGUCCCAGCUAUUCAAGAAACUGAAGUGGGAAGAUCACUUGAGCCUGCAAGGUCGACGCUGCAGUGAGCCAUGAUUGCACCACUCCAGCCUGGGAGACAGAGCAAGGCCUUGCUUCAAAAAAUAAAAAUAAAAGAUGACAUUAAGAAGAAAUCUGAUCUCAUUGUCUUUAUUAUCAAGUGAUUGAAGGCUAUAAUCAUUAUUUAAUAAUCUUGUAGAUAAUGAUUGUACUUGAAAGUGGGCUAUUAAUAACUAGAUAUAUCUAGAGCACCAAGGUUUUACAAUUGUUAGAAAUUUGAGAAGCAGCACCCAGUAGUGACUUAGAGUCAGACUGCAUGGCUGAAUCUCUGCUUCAGUCAUUGCUAACUACAACCUGGGGCAAGUUAGUUGACCUACUAUGCCUGUUUCCUCACUGUAAAAGGAGAAUAAUAUCAGUACUUUCCAUAUAUGACUAUUUUCAGGAUUAAAUGAGCUAAUACAUUUAAGAAUUUAGGCCAGUGCCUGGCAUUUCAGAAGUGCUCAAUGAAUGUUAACUAAUAUUAACCUGGCUUUGGUUAAAUUUGAAAAAACAAACACAAAAACACAACUUUGUGUAGGUAACUUUGUUACCUACUGCCCCUUGCUGGCCAACCUGGGUCAGUACACUGCCAUCUAUGUGGGGAAGCUAAAUAAAUAAGUGCUUGGAGUAAGGAAAGAUUUUCAGCGUUGAGGGUAAUAUCAAUGCUAAACUUAUGAAUAUUUUUGCAAAAUAGUCUUGAGAAAAAUCAAUUGUCAUGAAAUUAAGUAAUUAGCAAGAAGUAUAGGAAGAGAAAUUAAAUAUCUGUAACAAUAAUUAAAUAAUAAGCACAUUUUAGAUUCUUAAGAGCAGUUGAAAAGCAAGACAUUUUAAAUUGCAGUGCUCUAAAAUAGGACCCUUGAGAAUUUAUGGUGUAAUAGAAUAUGAUUUGCCAGGAAAAGCAACUUGCUCCCUGAAAUGACCAAGUAUGUAUUUCAAGUUCUGCCUAGAUGUUUGAGGGGUGGGAGGAGGUAUUAUCUUCUGUAGGGAGACCCCCUGAAACUACUGCUACAGAAUAAAAGAUGAAAUGCUCCUGGUUAUUGUAAAUACAAAGUUGCAUGCAGGAUUGUGUAAAGACAAUGCCAGGUUGGGCUGCCAGAAUGAGCCAACAGCGCGUGAUGUGCUUCCCCCUGCAGAGAGCCUAUGAACAGACGUGCAGUCAGGGAGGUUUCACAUCACCAAGAUUCCUAUCCCAGAAAAGCAGAUGUUCAGAGCUCUGGGAAUGGAAUGCAACGCUUGUGGAGAGCCUAUAAGCAGAUGCAUGAGGGGCACCUGUUCAUAUGGAUAAGAUAGGGCUACAAACACCCUCAUCUUGCCAUGGCUCUUCUAGGCCUCUUUAGGGUUAAGGCAUACUCCCUUCUGAGAAUUUCUGGUCUAACCGGUUGUCUAGCUUCACGUCCUGUUUCCAUGGAUUGUUUGUAACCAGCUUUUGCUGCAACAGUUACUGCUGAUUAAUAUCUUGCUAAUCAUAGGUUAUGGACAGACUGUGUUUCUGUUUCAAGGCUCUGUUAGAAAUGACUGAUGUAAAUUCUUAUCUCUGUAUACUGUACUUCUGCAUAUAGAUGUUAUGUUAAAGAAUUACUUCAUCUCCAUGUGACUAUCUCACCUCAUAAUCAAACGACCCUAAAUCCCUCACUAACCUACCCCUGACCUCACUAAACUUAAUAAUAAAUGCUGGUAUAUCCAGUGCAUUGGCGGCACCACGGGACCAGAAGAUGGUGACCCCCCCUGGACCCAGUUUUCACUAUCUUGUGUGCGUCUAUUAUUUCUCGACCUGCCGAUCUGCCCGUGAACAAGGAAAGAGCCCCAUUGCAUUGCGGGCUGCGGGGCAGAUCCCACAAUAAUCUUCCUAUUUGCAGAUU